rnacentral:tRNA from 1 species
GCCCCGCUGGUGUUAAUGGAUAACAUACAUCCUUCGUACCGAUGAGUUAAGAGUUCGAUUCUCUUGCGGGGCUC